GAUGAACGCUGGCGGCGUGCCUAAUACAUGCAAGUCGAGCGAACAGACGAGGAGCUUGCUCCUCUGACGUUAGCGGCGGAAGGGUGAGUAACACGUGGAUAACCUACCUAUAAGACUGGGAUAACUUCGGGAAACCGGAGCUAAUACCGGAUAAUAUAUUGAACCGCAUGGUUCAAUAGUGAAAGACGGUUUUGCUGUCACUUAUAGAUGGAUCAGCGCCGCAUUAGAUAGUUGGUAAGGUAACGGCUUACCAAGGCGACGAUGCGUAGCCGACCUGAGAGGGUGAUCGGCCACACUGGAACUGAGACACGGUCCAGACUCCUACGGGAGGCAGCAGUAGGGAAUCUUCCGCAAUGGGCGAAAGCCUGACGGAGCAACGCCGCGUGAGUGAUGAAGGUCUUCGGAUCGUAAAACUCUGUUAUUAGGGAAGAACAAAUGUUUAAGUAACUAUGCACGUCUUGACGGUACCGAAACAGAAAGCCACGGCUAACUACGUG
rnacentral:rRNA from 1 species